CCUACGGGUGGCAGCAGUGGGGAAUAUUGCUCAAUGGGGGAAACCCUGAAGCAGCAACGCCGCGUGGAGGAUGAAGGUUUUCGGAUUGUAAACUCCUUUUUUUAGAGAAGAUAAUUACGAUAUCUAACGAAUACUCACCGGCUAACUCCGUGCCAGCAGCCGCGGUAAUACGGAGGGUGCAGGCGUUACUCGGAAUCACUGGGCGUAAAGAGCGCGUAGGCGGGAUAUCAAGUCAGAGGUGAAACCCUAUGGCUUAACCAUAGAACUGCAUUUGAAACUGGUAGUCUAGAGUAUGGGAGGGGUAGGUGGAAUUCUUGGUGUAGGGGUAAAAUGCGUAGAGAUCACGAAGAAUACUGAUUGCGAAGGCGACCUGCUAGAACAUAACUGACGCUGAGGCGCGAAAGCGUGGGGAGCAAACAGGAUUAGAUACCCUAGUAGUC
rnacentral:rRNA from 1 species